rnacentral:rRNA from 11 species
AGGAGGUUGGCUUAGAAGCAGCCACCCUUUAAAGAAAGCGUAAUAGCUCACUAGUCGAGUCGGCCUGCGCGGAAGAUGUAACGGGGCUAAGCAAUAUACCGAAGCUGCGGCAGCAAGUUUACUUGCUGGGUAGGGGAGCGUUGUGUAAGUGGAUGAAGGUGAGUUGUAAAGCUUGCUGGACAUAUCACAAGUGCGAAUGCUGACAUGAGUAACGACAAUGCGGGUGAAAAACCCGCACGCCGGAAGACCAAGGGUUCCUGCGCAACGCUAAUCGGCGCAGGGUGAGUCGGCCCCUAAGGCGAGACCGAAAGGUGUAGUCGAUGGGAAACGGGUUAAUAUUCCCGUACCUUGGAUAGCUGCGAUGGAGAGACGGAGAAGGCUAGGUGAGCCGGGCGACGGUUGUCCCGGUUUAAGCGAGUAGGGAGUGGACUUAGGCAAAUCCGGGUCCACAAUCUCGAGACGCGACGACGACUGCUCUUAGAGCGGGAAGUCAUUGAUGCCAUGCUUCCAGGAAAAUCUUCUAAGCUUCAGGCUAUUCGAGACCGUACCCCAAACCGACACAGGUGGUCAGGUAGAGAAUACCAAGGCGCUUGAGAGAACUCGGGUAAAGGAACUAGGCAAAAUGGUGCCGUAACUUCGGGAGAAGGCACGCUGGUGGUAAGUGAAAUCCCUGCGGGUGGAGCUGAAGCCAGUCGAAGAUACCAGGCCCCUGCGACUGUUUAUUAAAAACACAGCACUGUGCAAACA